rnacentral:lncRNA from 1 species
GUCUGUUCUGUUUUCUGUCAGCAGUAAGGAAAUACAUUCUAGCAAAUGACAUCCAGUAAUGCUUUAAUUAACUGCAGUAUUUUGUGCUCCAACAUGCAGGCAGAAAUCACUUCCAGAUGGAGAAAAUGAAAGCUAUUUACACAAAGAAGCAAUCCCUUUAUUUUAAGGAAAUUUAUAUCUCCCAAAGGUGUAGAACUUCGAGGGUCCAAGAGGCUAUUCUGAUGAAUACUAAAACAGGACUGGGAAUUUUUAUUUAAUAUAUAAAAUGUCAUCGUACCCUUCAUGUAGGCCAGCAUUUCAGGUGUCCAUGUUUCUAAGGCUUUUGCUUAAAUUGCCCAUUGGAGCUCUAUUUUAUUUUUAGGAAUCUGACUUGGAGUAGACGAGAAGUGUGAGACACUUGCUGUCACCCUCAAGCAGGCAGGUUGUUCUGAGUGCUCUUCCUAGCGAAGGAAUCCCAUUUCCAGCAGGUUAUUCCGAGUGCUCUUCCUAGCGAAGGAAUCCCAUUUCCAGCAGGUUAUUCCGAGUGCUCUUCCUAGGGAAGGAAUCUCAUUUCCAGCAGGUUAUUCCGAGUGCUCUUCCUAGGGAAGGAAUCCCAUUUCCAGCAGGUUAUUCCGAGUGCUCUUCCUAGCGAAGGAAUCCCAUUUCCAGCAGGUUAUUCCGAGUGCUCUUCCUAGCGAAGGAAUCCCAUUUCCAGCAGGUUAUUCCGAGUGCUCUUCCUAGCGAAGGAAUCUCAUUUCCAGCAGGUUAUUCCGAGUGCUCUUCCUAGCGAAGGAAUCCCAUUUCCAGCAGGUUAUUCCGAGUGCUCUUCCUAGCGAAGGAAUCUCAUUUCCAGCAGGUUAUUCCGAGUGCUCUUCCUAGCGAAGGAAUCCCAUUUCCAGCAGGUUAUUCCGAGUGCUCUUCCUAGGGAAGGAAUCUCAUUUCCAGCAGGUUAUUCCGAGUGCUCUUCCUAGCGAAGGAAUCCCAUUUCCAGCAGGUUAUUCCGAGUGCUCUUCCUAGCGAAGGAAUCCCAUUUCCAGCAGGUUAUUCCGAGUGCUCUUCCUAGCGAAGGAACCCCAUUUCCAGCAGGUUAUUCCGAGUGCUCUUCCUAGGGAAGGAACCCCAUUUCCAGCAGGUUAUUCCGAGUGCUCUUCCUAGGGAAGGAACCCCAUUUCCAGCAGGUUAUUCCGAGUGCUCUUCCUAGGUAAGGAAUCCCAUUUCCAGCAGGUUAUUCUGAGUGCUCUUCCUAGCCAAGGAAUCCCAUUUCCAGCAGGUUAUUCUGAGUGCUCUUCCUAGGGAAGGAACCCCAUUUCCAGCAGGUUAUUCCGAGUGCUCUUCCUAGAGAAGGAACCCCAUUUCCAGCUGUGCACAUGCAGCAUUUCCCCUGGCAUUCUUUCAACAGGGAACCAGGUCUCCUCAUCCGAUGGCAAUUCAGGAAGGGUUGGUGUCAUACCCUGCAUCGAGCAGCAGCCUCGGACCUGCCCCCACGCUCUGCGUGCCCUGUACUGGUCAUGCUGGUCUCAGCUUGUCUGCUCUCAGUCCUGUCUGAUCUGCACAGAGGAGCCACCCUAGACAUAAGAAAUCAGGCACCCCUUCUCGGGGGUGGGCAGAGCCCUGGGUACUGGCUCUUUGUUCUUCGAGAGAGGAAGGAGUGGCGGUAGUUAGCUUCAAUCCCUGAGCUGGGUUUGGAGAUCAGAACACCUUGUCCAUUGCGGCUCCUGUUUCAUUGUUAAGAGUCCACACAGGAUGUUCUCUGGCCUGGACACCGCUAAGCCAGCUUUCAGACAAGUCCCCUCAGUAAGAGCAGAGUGAACUCUUUAUUGAUUAUACAAAUUACCACUAUUUAUUUUAAACCCAAAGUGACUUCAAAGUUGUUUUUUGGUUUUUAAAGGGGCUACAGAAAAUGGACUGAGGGGAAGGAAUGGGCACAAUAUCUAGGUCUAGCUGAAUCACAGAGCUGUUAGCUGCUGCUUUCAUCCACAGGUACUCCUUUUACCUUAUUAUUUUUUAGAGAGUCUUGCUCCGUCACCCAGGCAGGAGUGCAAUGGCAUGAUCUCGGCUCACUGCAGCCUCUGCCUCCUGGGUUCAAGCGAUCCUCCUGCUUCAGCCUCCUGAGUAGCUGGGAUUACAGGCGCCCACCACCACGCCUGGCUAAUUUUGUAUUUUUAGUAAAGACAGGGUUUCACCAUGUCGGCCAGGCUGGUCUCGAACUCCUGACCUCACAUGAUCCACCUGCCUCGGCCUCCCAAAGUGCUGGGAUUACCAGUGUGAGCCACCAUGCCCGGCCUAUUUUUUAAUAGAGAUGGGGUCUCACUCUGUUGCCCAGGCUUGUCUUGAAGUCCUGGGCUCAAGCAAUCUUCCCACCUCAGCCUCUCAAAGCACUGGCAUUACAGGUGUGAUGCCACAGUACCCGGCCUAGGGUGCCCCUUUGAUACGUUAUUUUUGAAGUGAUGUUAAUAAAUAAAGCUUCUGCUUGGGGGUUGGUCAUCAAAACAAGAAGAAUCCUCAUCAGUAUGGAGAGAGCCCAAUCCUGGGCAUGGUCCCCACCACCACCAAAAGUCUUUUUUUUUUAACUGAGUCUCACUCUGUCUCCCAGGCUGGAGUGCAGUGGCGGGACCUCGGCUCACUGCAACCUCCGCCUCCCGGAUUC